UUUCUGGACUCUCAGCAACCCGAAGCCUUGGAAACGCUCUCUCUCCUCCCAAUCAUCUCCUGCGACCGCCAAAGGAAAGAAUGAGCAGCCGCUCGAGCAGAACCUUGUAUGUUGGCAAUCUACCCGGAGAUAUUCGAGAGAAGGAGGUCGAAGAUUUGUUCUACAAGUAUGGACCUAUUAAAGAUAUUGAUCUGAAGAUUCCUCCAAGGCCUCCAGGUUAUGCAUUUGUUGAGUUUGAAGAAGCUCAUGAUGCUGAAGAUGCGAUCCGUGGCCGCGACGGCUAUAGUUUUGAUGGUCAUAAGCUACGGGUGGAACUUGCGCAUGGUGGAAGAGGGCACCCCUCACCUUUUGAACGUCAUCGUAGUUACAAUGGUGGAGGUGGAGGUGGCCGUGGUGGUGUCUCAAGGCAUUCAAACUAUCGAGUGAAGGUGACUGGUCUGCCAUCAUCUGCAUCAUGGCAAGACCUGAAGGACCACAUGCGUCGAGCUGGUGAUGUUUGUUUCUCUGAAGUAUUUCGUGAUGGCGGAGGCACUACAGGGAUAGUAGAUUACUCUAACUAUGACGACAUGAAAUACGCUAUCAGAAAGCUUGAUGAUUCUGAGUUCCGGAAUGCAUUUUCUCGAUCAUAUAUAAGGGUUAGGGAAUAUGAUCCUAAAAGAAGCUUAUCUAGGAGUCGCAGUCGUAGUCGUUCCUACUCAAGGAGCCGGAGCCGUAGUCGUGAUCGCAGUUCAAGCCGAAGCCGUGGCCGAAGUAAAUCUCCCAAAACUAAGUCAGGACGCUGUUCAAUGUCCAGAUCUCGGUCGAAGUCCGGUUCUUCACAUUCUGGUUCUAAAGGACGCCGUCUGUCAGGAUAUGGGCUUAUGCAGCGAUCAGGGGAUUGCAUAUUAGGAACUUGAUUGGGCACUAUCCUAAGUGAGCAGCUAUGGAAAAGGAUUUUGAUCUAAUAUGGAUUCAGAGCUGGAUUAUUAUGAAAUUUUAAUUCGUAUAUGGAUUCACCAACGAGCAAUAGGAGUUGCGCCUUGGGAGUCAGGAUGGGAUUUUUGUUUGGUACAACUAAAUAACUAAAUUUACUCAAUUCUUCUGGAAAGGAAAAAAAAUAGUAUAUUAUUUAUCCUCUCUAGGAUCUAACUUGGUCAUUGCGACAACACAUUUAAUUUCAAGUACCACUGUUCACAUGGAACCAUGUCAUCUUUUUGCAUCUACGACUAAAGAUUUAUACGUUUUCUUUCUUUUGGUGUCAUUUUGGCAUCUCUACUUGGAAGAGGCGUCGAAGCUUUUGGAUCAAGGUGUAUUUAAAGCAAAAAUAGUGGGAUAUUGAAUACAGUUGUUUCUGGAACUUUUUGCAGAUCGCGGUCAAGGUCCAGAUCUCCGGUAACUUCUCCUGUCAAUGGAAGAGCGAGCCAGAGCCCAAAGAAUCAGAGCCCUACCAGGAGCAGGAGUGCAUCAAGGUGAACUCCGAAGGAAGAAAACUGUAACUUGCGUUUGAGGAGCAUACACGCAAUCGAUAAUUAAUGAAGUCCCUCAUGAACAUGUUUCUGGAUUUUGUCUUUAUAAAUAUUGUUGGAAGUUGAAUCGGAACCAACUACUUGUCAUUCUUAUGUUGUCGACGAUGUUGUUAUUUGUAGCCUAAAGUACUGUUUGGAACUCUGGGCAUGCGAUAAGAUUUGCGACUUGUGCUGAGUCUUUAAAUUUUAACAGAUAUCUAUAUGUCGAAAUGGAUAUUAGGGUCGCGUCACUUUUGUCGAUGUAAUUUGUGCUGGUAUUGACAACUUGCAGUGACAAUUUGAUGGUUAUUAUCUAAUUCGGUUCAGAUGGCC